GCUUCUGCAGUACCGCUCUUUGGUCAACAGGUGGAGUAAUAUCCGCGCAUGCGCAGAUGAAAAGCAGAUUCAACGCGAACUUUUCUGCUCUGUUUAUGAUCGGCGUGAUUUAAUGGGAAUCAGUUUAAACAAAGUUCAGGUGCAAAAAGAGAAAACAAGCGAAGAUUUUACCAUGUGGACACACAGCCAGAUCGUCUCCAUCAAGAAAAAAACGUAAAUGCAUCCUGAAAGCCCUUACUGUCUACCUGAAUGAAGACCAUCAAACCUUGUGAAGGAGUAUAUGGGUGUUAAACAUGAUGUCGUUGCAACCUCGAUGCUCAACACCACCCUGGGAAUCUAUGACUUCGUACAUGAAGGAGCAGAUGCUACAGACCCAUAUGAAGAUGUUGGCAUCAUCAUUAAAGGCAUCCAAAUAUUUGAAAACCUGAACAAUGUGGCAAAUGCAUGUUCUGCGAUACUUGGUCUAAUUUAUGGAUUAAACUUGGCUUAUCCACAA